rnacentral:misc_RNA from 1 species
CUUGAUGGUUAUAGUGUUUCAUAUUCUGCUCGGACUUUUAUUGUGGAGCUAUUUUAGAGUAGUAUUGAAGGACCCUGGUUCAGUCCCUGAGAAUUGGAGGCCAGAGCGGUUGGAGGAGAAUUUGGAGGGAGGUAGCUGUAUCAAUGAGUCGGAUUUUAGAGCACCUGAGAAUUUGGGUUCUACAUGGUCUGGGCCUGCUGGGUUGGAUAGGGGACCACAUGUGGGCUAUUGCAAUCACUGCCAGAACGGCAAACCGCCGCGUUGCCAUCAUUGCUCUGUUUGUAAGCCAAUAUGUGAUCUUUUUUUACAGCUUAUUGAUUUUCUUCAUUAAUUUCUAUUAUGUAUCUUUUAAUUUUACCAGUUUUUAUUUUACUUCGUCAAUUAACAUUUUCUAACGUGGUAUUGGGCAUUUUAUGAUAGUUUUUAUGUUCUUUUCUCUAAUGGUAUAUGUUGAAUUUUUGUAAGUUUAGGGAUGCUGCUUUUUUCUCGAGGGAUAUUUUUGGUUAUUUUUUUUGAUCUCAUUAAUGUUUUCCCUAGUUUUUCAUUCUGCCUUCCUUCAUAGAUUCUGCAUGGAAUUUUCCCCCUUAUUUCAAGGGAAGUAACUGGGAAAUUUAGUGUCUAGGAAAUUGUGCUUCAGAGAUUUUCUGAAGUUGAUCGAAUAUUAAGCAUUUGAGUUGUGUUAUCAUUAUAACGUAAAUGUAUUUGUCUAUUUUUCACCUUUAGAUUCUUUCUCGAAUCAUAAAUCCCUUUCAUUUACUGGCUGGUGCUGGUCUUAGUUGUAUUCCAUGCAAAUACGAAUUAGGUAAAUAAAGGUGGAAAGAGAGGUUUCUGAAUUUACCAAAUUCACAAGCUUUUCUUGGCAUUUGUAAGAUUUACUAAAGUUGGUUUUUUUGCCCAUAUGAUGAAAGCGUAUAUUGUUUUGUGGAUGAGUUAAGAUGAUAUCAUAAGGUGCUGAA